UGCUUUGGGGAGCCUCACAAGCUGGGCCUGUGGGCAUAGGCCCUCCUCCCUGCUGUGUCCCCAGAGGACAGUGCUCAGUGGUAGACGCUCUUGGCACAUGGAGGUUCUACUUAGCUCCUGUGAGUAAUAACUGCUGGCACACCUGCUGCCGAGGAGGAGAGGUCAAUGUCUGGGGUUGGGGUUUGAGGAGUGGAGAGGAAGGAGAUGGGGCCAAUCCUGCCUGGGGCUGGGCUACACCUGCCAGUAGGUGCCAUUGUAGCUGAAGGGCUCCUGGGAGACGCAGGGCAUGGGGUCGGCCGGGGUCCAACGCUGGACAUGCACCCCAGACCUGCCCCCAGGCUCAGAGGGCGCACGAUGACGGUGCGAAGCGAGGCCACAGAGGGGUCU